UACAGAGGUCUCAAGCGUUGUUCGGAUUCAUUGGGCGUAAAGGGCGCGUAGGUGGCGCGGUAAGUCGGGUGUGAAAUUUCGGAGCUUAACUCCGAAACUGCAUUCGAUACUGCCGUGCUUGAGGACUGGAGAGGAGACUGGAAUUUACGGUGUAGCAGUGAAAUGCGUAGAUAUCGUAAGGAAGACCAGUGGCGAAGGCGGGUCUCUGGACAGUUCCUGACACUGAGGCACGAAGGCCAGGGGAGCAAACGGG
rnacentral:rRNA from 1 species